GAGCUUGGAACUACAGUGCACAGCUAUAAAGCUCACCCAUGGGCAAUGCAAUGAAAGACACAGUUCCCUCAUCUGUGAGCCUUCAAUUCAGAUUAUUAAUGAAGUUGUUAAAUAAGUCUGCGACCAGUGCUCAUCUCCUUGGUAUCUUGAUGGUCCUUCAACCCCAAUUAUGUACUACAUUUCCCUCUACCAUUUCCUUUUAUUUAUGUUCCCUCAGUCAUUCCCCAAACCACUGAAAGGCUCACU